AUCCAGCUGACAAGUUCUAAACAGGACGAAACGUGCGUCUUUGAU
rnacentral:hammerhead_ribozyme from 1 species